GCCCCUAUGGCUUAGUGGUACAGCAUCGCACUUGUAAUGCGAAGAUCCUUGGUUCGAUUUUUUUGAUGUUUGGUGCU